CAUAGCUGGUCCUGGUCCCACGUUCUAGAGUGGGGGUCUAGUGCUGUAGAAGCACAGAGAAGGGAGAAGCAUGUACCAGCAGCCAUGUCAGUGUGGCAGGGUGCAUACAUGCUGGCUGGUGUGGCAUAUUAGUGGUAGUAGGGCUGCAGUGUUCCCGCACACACUUGCCCAUAUGUGCAUUCUGGCAAAGCAGUGAGGGGGUAGCCAUGGGUGAGUGCAUGCCAGCAAAGCAACCUGGGGGAGGCUGUGGUGAGUGGAGCAUGCAAGCGGGCUGGUAUACAUUGGUGGGGGCCACUCUGCUGGAGAUCUCUGAUGGUCAGGCGUGGUCUGCUGGCAAAGCAGCUGUGAUGAAGGUCCCAAGGAGCACCCUGGUGGACAUCCAAGGAUGUGCUGCAAGUGAGUGGAGCCAGGCUGGGGCCCUGGGAGAGGUCAGCAGAUAGUGAGGUGCUCAGAUUAGCCUGGCCCCAUCCCAUGGAG
rnacentral:lncRNA from 1 species